UCUACAAAGCCUGGCUCUGUUCCCAGUAUUUUGAAGUCACACAGUUUCACUGCAGCAACAGAAUUCCUUGCAAGCAAUACUGUUUGGAGGUUCAGACAAGGUGUCCAUUUAUAUUACCAGACAAUGAUGAUGUCAUCUAUGGAGGACUAUCAAGUUUCAUCUGUACAGGGCUCUAUGAAAACAAUCCAACCAAUGCAGAACCAGAAUGCUGUGAUGUCAGAUGGGGACUAUUAUCAGAUCACCAAUCCAAAGGGACUAUAAAAUCAAGUGACUCAACGAUGUGUCACAGGACAUCACUCACAGUUUCAUCAGCAUCAAGACUGUGUAAUAGCAGACUUAAACUGUGUGUUCUUGUAUUAAUUCUCUUACAUACAGUACUUACAGUCUCAGCAGCACAGAACUCAACAGGACUGGGCUUUGGAGGCAUAACAACUAUGGACGAUAAUUCAACUAAUGAAGAAUAAAAGAAAGGAUUCAUAAAAUGUGAUAGACAUACAAGAGGCCCAAAUGUACUACAGUCAAAUAUAACAGAGACUGGGUGCUUUUACCCUCAGAUCACUUCUUGAAAGGCCUUCUGGGUAAAAUUAAAAGGAUGGGCCACAAUCCAAACAAAGACACAUGAACACAGCUUUUUAUUGACUAAAAGGCUGUAUGGUGACUUAAAUUUCUCACACCAUUUUAUACACUGUGUUUUAAUGUUUGGAGUUUCCUUUUUGUUUGUUUUUGCACUUGUUAAUACAGGAUUUUAUUUUUGGGAUGGUUUCUCAAAGCUAAACUAAGUCUUUUCACUGUCGAUAUAUUUCUAGUCACUGUGUGUGUUCAUCUGAUAGUUCUGUCUUUUAUGUCCUGUCAGUUUCUACUAGAGGAAUGACUGCUAUGAUUCCAUGCCAUAGCUAAAAAACUACAAACCGCCCCCCCCCCCAAAAAAACCAACAAAAAACCACAAAAAAAUAAUACCUAACUGUCCCUUUACCCAUGGAAACCAUUCUUCUUCUCCUCCCUUUCCCAUCUCCUGUUAGCAGACAACAUCCACUUGCUUCUGUCUGUGUAAUCACAAUGAAUGGGUACACAUAAUUCCAGUGUACCUCUGCCACUGUUGCACAAACCAGCUGACUGAGCAAAUCCAAAGGGAGCAUGAUGGGGGUUCCUUUUAGCUGAACAAACAAGUGCUCUCUUAUAAGGUGGGAUCAGACAGUUAACAAAUUUUUAUGUAAAGAUAUAUAUAACAAACUGUUAUUCCAAAUCCCAUUUUCAAAAAGUCCAGUCCUUUCUCGCUGGUCAGUUGAACAGGAGCAGCCUUUUCAGAUGCAGUAUGUGAAACUAGUUAAGCUCAGCGAGUUAAUAGUCAGGAAACCUUCACAUUGGAGGUUAAAGAUUGGCAUUCAUUGUGAAUUACGUUUUGAGUUCCACUGAAGUCACGUAACCAGCAAAUAUCCACAACAUAUGGGAACAAAAGUUUUCAGGAAAAAAAAAAUCUUUUUUGUUCUAAUGAAGCUACAGUAGAAGCACCUGACCACCAACAAUACAAAAUGCGUGUACAAUUUUGAAUCUAUUGUUUUUCUAAUAGCUAUAUGCUGUUGAAAGCUAUUCCAGUUAUUAAGGGUACAGUGUGUUAUGUUAGCACAGCUAAAGAAUCUGCUUUUUUAAUAAAGAAAUCAAGCAUUUUCAUAAAUGUGCAAUAAAACAGCAAAGAAUAUACUAGGAUAUUGGUAGUCAAGGAAAAGGAUUGUAAUCUGAUUGCCUUUUUUUUUUUUUCUUUUUUUGUGUGGGAACAUUUCACCUGCUGAGUGUAUGAGAAUUUGCUUUUUAAAAAGGCUUUUUAGAGUUUACAGUAGAAUCAAUGGAAGGAAAAGUUAAUAAGGGCUGUUUUUAAAAACUUUACAUUCCUUCCUAUUCUCUAACUACACUUGGAAAGUGCACUUUAGAGAUGUUUGCUGUGUAGCUGGGAGAUGAAGGAAAACUAUAGGAAAUGUUCUCUUAGCAAAUACAAUUUAGUUAUAACUUUCUAGCUAUGAAAUACCCCUUGAUAAAUAUUUCUGUUAUAAGAGUAUUUAAUCACUGGUGCAUAAGUAUGUGUUUUUAUUCACAUUUUACAGUCUGUAAAAUACUGAAGAAAAAAAAUCUUACUGCUUAAGCAGUUCAAACUGCAUUUGUUAAGAUAUAAAAGCUCAAAUAUUUUGCAAAAACAUUUGUUUUGAUAGUGUUUUACUAUGACUGGGACUAAGGAUCCUAAGAUGAUCUGUGCAAAUACAAAAAAAGCACCAAAAUGCGAAAUUUUUCAGCUCUGGUUUGUUUCCAUAACUCUCCACCUUUCCCUUUCCCCAACAUAAGAUAUUCUGUUCAAUAAAACAUGGUGCUUUUUUUUCUGUUAGAGGCACAUGUGUUAAUUACAUUGAACUGAUGCAAACUGUGGAAAAAUGUAGAAAUGUAAAUGAAAAAGCCUUAAUUAAUGGUAGAAUGUAGAUUUAAAAAAGGAUGGGAUUAUUAUUGAAGUAGUGGAGCAAUAACUGGGCAUUGUUGUGGUAUUGAAUGAUAGAUUAUAAAUCACACUACUGAGAAAGCGCCUACUAGGUGAGCUCUUGUUCAACUGACCUCUUAAUUAUAUUAAGUGUAUAUGGUCAGUAAACAGUUUGUUAUAACCUUUAUCUACCUCUGCUGUGCAAAGGCCAUUCAACAUCCAUUUCUGUGAUGUUAUUCAUUUAUUUUUGUUCUCACUGUUACCCAUAGUCAUCUAUUUUUACACUGCAUCAAUAUAGUAGCAAGUCCUAUUCAUCCCAGUUAAACUGGCAUAUGAAGAAGAGUUACCAUUUCUGUUCACUCUACCCUAUUUUGCCUCAUGGUGACACUUAGUGUGGAGAAUGAUCUUUAAGGAAUAUUGUUUUCUCUCUCACCAUGUCUCUCUUCUGCCUUCUCUCUUUCUCUUAUUCUCUCACCACUUCUUCUUGACCCCAAUCCUUUUGCUUUUCUUUAAAGGUGUUUUCAAAUGGUGUCAGUGAAAAACAUGACUUAUCCACUGCUUAACUACACUCAGUAACAUGUCAUACUAUAUGGGAGAAAUACAGCUGAGGAAAUAACAGUGGUAACAUCAUCAAAUGCAUAAAAUAGCCAAAUUAAAGUUGGACAAAAUGAAGCAGGAAGCAAUUACAAAAUCUUAAUUAUUAAGUAUAAAAUGUAAUAAAAUACUCCCCCUACCCUCACCCUGAGUCAGUGCCUGCAGUUAAAUGGUCUGUGAAUUCUCUGACAUACUUUUGGUAUAUUUCCUUCAUAUAAGGAAAAAAAAAAUCAUGUUCCUGGGAUUACUACUGCUAUGAUAUUUGUUACCAUUCCAACCAGAUACAUCAGCCCCAGGAGUGUGGUAUGCAGCUUCUUUUGGGGGCAGCUAGGAAAUCACAAGUAGACAAAGACUCUUUUAUGAAGUUAAAUAACACAUAAUCAUGUAUGAUGCAAAGACUCAUUUCAUCCAUUCCUCAUUCGUAAUAGUUUUCCUGGCACAAACUUAAGCAUGCUUGAUAUUGUGCGCAUAUUACUUUUUUGCCAAAAUAAAUUUGCAUUUUGCCACUGCUGUAACUGCCAUCUUGUUCCAUUUCUCCUUGUACUGUAUGCAUAUUACAUACAUGAUGAAGAACUGGCUUAAACACAGAUAAUACUAAAAUAUUUCUGCAAGCAAGUGACAAAAAAAGAGGAAAAAAAAUAUUUAUUUUACAGUCAUAUGAAAUAUCUCCCAUGUCUUUUACUGUCUUAUUUUCCACAGUAGGGAAAACCCAGAGUUUGUGCAAUAUGUUAAUACUGCUACGCCAAAUGUCAUAUAACAUAAACACAGCUAUAUGUUAUUCCGUAUUGCAUUUACAUUUGGGAAACAUUAUACUGACUUUUUUCUUUCAUUAAAGAGACAGUAUCCAUUUUUUGAAAACACAGUAAGUGAAGGCUGUCCUUCUGCACGCCAUAAUUUAAACACAAAAACUAAUGUAGAAUAAAGGUUUAGCUGCAUAAUUGAUGAAAUCGAGCCAUCAGCUGCCAAUGAGUCUGCAGAACAAUAAAGAUGCACCAAAAAGGGAUUUUCAGGAAAUUCUGUCUUGAGUUGUUAAAAAGAAUGCUUUUCUUCUAAGCAUAGGGAUAAAAAAAGAGGAAUAAGAGCUGUAUACCAAAUAGCAGAGAUGGCAGGUUCCAUUUGGUAUGUCAUGUGGUUCUUGGUCUAUAUCAUUAUAUUCUUUUAUUAAAAAGUGGAGGGACAA